rnacentral:pre_miRNA from 13 species
UCCGGGGCAGGGUGAUGGUGUCACAUGCAUUACUGAGAGAUGUCAUCACACGCUACCUCAUUCUGUGAUGUCAUCACUCAGUACCGCACAUGUCCACCGAGAGCCGCGGG